rnacentral:rRNA from 1 species
UACGAAGGGGGCUAGCGUUGCUCGGAAUCACUGGGCGUAAAGGGUGCGUAGGUGGAUAUUUAAGUCAGGGGUGAAAUCCUGGAGCUCAACUCCAGAACUGCCUUUGAUACUGAGUAUCUUGAGUUCGAGAGAGGUGAGUGGAACUGCGAGUGUAGAGGUGAAAGUCGUAGAUAUUCGCAAGAACACCAGUGGCGAAGGCGGCUCACUGGCUCGAUACUGACACUGAGGCACGAAAGCGUGGGGAGCAAACAGG